UUGCAUCUAUUGACAGACCUAAAGCACAUCACCGUGGCUUUCUAGGUUCUUUUCCAGUUAGAUGCAAGAUUAAAUUCCUCGCGCUUUCUGUUUGACUAAUUAGUAGCAAUGCAGAUUGAAUAGAGGAAUACACAA